GUAUUUCGAUGGAGGCGCGUUGGGCGGCGCCACAUACGCGAAGGGGUGCCGCGCUUUUGACACUCGAUUCGGACCUUUCCGGCAAGUAUUAUGCGUUGCGUGAUUUUUUAUUCAAUAUCGGAAAAAAAUACGAGACUUUAGUUUAGAUAACUAGUGUUACGCGUGCGUGUGUGCGACGACAUUCGGCGGCGACUUUCCCGUGGGACAAGGUACGUCGCAAGGAUCUUUGAAGAAUCGACGAAAGCGCUAAUUAGCGAGGGAACACAAACUGGCAUCAACGAACCUCUGAUUUCCGCGGAAGCCCACGAAGGAUCGUUGAGCGACAGGAUCAGCAUCGAAAGCAGAUACAACGCAGUCUCGGAUCUCAUCUUCGCCGCGGUGUAUUAUGGCGCGCGAUUUGCCCCCGCCCAGCUUCACGUCCUCCUCCUGUCUGUGCCUCCUCGCCUCCUUCCGGUUUUACUCAUUUUCCGCUCUUCUCAUCGCGGAGGCUCGCUUUCAUGAAGGCAGCGUACUCGCCUGGGAGGUGCGCUUAUCUGGGAAAUGAAAAACGUCGACGUCGAAAGCUUAUCUCGCGAUCAUCUCGACGCGGUCACCAACUCGUUAUCUUUCGCCAUUAGAUCAGACAUUAGAUUAGUAAUGAAAUACGUACACGAAAUUUAUGAAUCGCAUUGACGAUUAAAAGCGUCGACCGAAUUCGAUCUUCGACCCUUACCCCCUUUUCGUCUGCUCAUUCGAGAUUCUUUCGAUGUAUCUCCUCCCACGUGGGAGGGGAGACGUAGGAGUAAAACGCGGGAUAAAGUUGACGGAUGGUGGAUAAGCGCAGAGUAGGAGCGACGGAUAACAUGUAAGCCUUGUAACUUUGGAGGACUACGCGACGAAAAAUUUCAAAGUUGCUCGAGCCAUCUCGGCGGGAGAGAGAAAGAGAGAAAAGGAGAGACGCAGGUCACGGCCAGUGAUCCCUCCCGAAGAAAUAACGUCGGUCUUUAAGAAACUUUCCGAGAUCCUUCUCCUUUUCUCCCCGGUGGGGGUAACACGGCGGCCGAACUACCGCGAGGGAAAAAAAAAAAAACAAAGGAUAAUCAGGUCUUUUUCUUUCGGAGACGCGCCGAGAAGUUCGUCCCUUCGACUAUCUUCUUCUCCGAGCGCGCGGAAGAAUCCGCGCUCGUAAUCGGUGCUCUCGUCGAAAUAUAUAUAUAAGUCGGAAUAUACACGAAAGGUCGAAGGAUAAGAAAGGAUUACACGGCAAAUGAGACGCGCAACAAGUUGCUGACUUUAACUCUCAUUUGCAAUAAUAAGAGAAAUAAAACGAAAUUGCCCUUUUCGAGAUUGUGUACUUCUCCUGAACUGAAAUUAUUUUUAUUUAAACUUUUCCGAACUAGCGUGACGUUACUUGCCUCUGACAUCGCGAUAAUUUAUUUUAAAAACCGAUAAUCUUUACAAGCAUUUCGUGAUACUGUAAGCGAAGCGUUAAUAAGUUAAUUACGAACAGUAAACUUUACUGUACACAAAUUAUUUAACAUGUUUCCUUUAAUAAAAUUUUGAUUGAGCGGAAUCGACGCUGAGAGAGAGAGAGAGAGAGAGAGAGAGAGAGAGAGAGAGAGAGAGAAAGAGAGGGAGAGAGAGCUCGGGAAACGGAGCACGCGAAGCGCGGGGCAAUAACUCAUUCGUGGAAAUUAGUUUGAAAUGAAACGAACGGAGAAUAUUACAGUUGCGCGUAUCACGCGUUCAAAACAUUUCACGUGAUAACAGCACGGCAGGUCGGCGCGUCAGCGGUUAUCUACGGUGUACAUACAGCGCACUAUUGUAUAACGUAAGUUCGUUGUUUCCGUGACAAUGGGCAGGAAGGUGGCCCGGUACAAGUUCGUUCUGCGUGUCGUCACAAUUAUACCGAGAUUACCGUCCGAACUAUGCAAAUGGUACGUUGAGGAAACGCGAACGUUUAGUAAUUGGCAAUCGAUUGUCGCGAUCGUCGAAACUCGAGGCGAAACGGAUACACGCAAUUCGUGCAUAAGUAGAAUAAAAAUGCGUAAGGGAGGAUGUUUAUUAUAAAUUACUGUCUCGUUACGACUCUUUUAACAUGACGUAGAUUUCCCGUUACGUCGAUGAAUAUUCCGCAUCGCAAUGUAAUUCGAGAUUGAGAAAUGGUAGAAUAAUAUACGUGAAUCUGCGGUUUCAGUAACUAUUUAUUAAUAAUAUUCAUAUCUGGCGAAAUUUACGAAACGCAUUGUGCACGUAAUUAGCCGUAUUUUCGCGAAUGAGUGUUGUGACAUGAAGAAGCAACAGCGCGGAGAAAACA